CAGAACAUUCCUCAUAAUGCGUUGUUUAACACAGAAUUUUAGACUGCGGGCUUUUGAUUAACGUCGCCGACGGGACCUAAGGAUACUCGUGAGCUCUGAAGCGAGAAUUCCUCCAGUUGGCGGUUUUAAAUACUAGUACUAUCCUUGACGCGAAGAGGAAGUAUAGAUGGGCGCCCCCCGUCACGAUAUUUGUAUUUAUUUUAUUUAUCUAUAUUUUUAAUGUAUCGUAGUGGUGCGGGACUUCUGGGGACUGAUCCAGUCGACUUGAGAAUGAAACUGGAGUCUUCUCAAUCGGCAUCCUUCCACCGUUCGUGCGCAAUUGAUGCCCGGCAACAGAUAGCCCCUGAAAACCCAAGAAGCAGGGGCGGAGGACGAUGAUGGUUUCAAUUGGGGCGCGAGAACGAAAUGGUAGUGGACGUUUAGCGGGAU
rnacentral:sRNA from 1 species